UGUGACAAUAACCGACAAGAAUUAUCUUGGAAGAUAAUACGGUCUGCAUUUGAUUGUAAGGAAUUCUAGGUCAGGUGAACAGAAGGACUUGAGUUCCUGUAUGUUGUUACAAUUACACCAUGAGCCAUUACUCAUGAAACAUACAGCCCGCCCUUCUUCUUCCCAGACAGAUGUUUAUUCCUGUCGGUGCGACGAACAAAGAAUCCCGGUGGCUGUAUCGACUCCAACAGCAUGUCCCCAGAGAGCCAUGUUUCCGUGAAACAGAGUAUGUUUCAAUCCCGGAAGUCUCUCUGCAAAGCAACCCUUGCCCUAAAUUUGUCAAUAGCAUGAGAAAAGCACAGUAUGGCAUCUGAGCUGAUCAUCAUGAAUGUCAUGUAGUCAGCAGCCAAUACAGAUACAUCAGGGGAGUUGUUUUUCUGUUGGCACCGAUCCCAUGCUGACAGGCUGCCAAGUCAACUACUUUAUCCCCCUCAUACUAAACUUUGCUCACUCUUGUUCAACUGCCCU
rnacentral:lncRNA from 1 species